AGCGAACGCUGGCGGCAGGCUUAACACAUGCAAGUCGAACGAACCUUUCGGGGUUAGUGGCGGACGGGUGAGUAACGCGUGGGAACGUGCCAUUAGGCUCGGAUUAACUCAGGGAAACUUGUGCUAAUAUCGAAUGUGUACCUCGGGGGAAAGAUUUUUCGCUUUUAGAGCGGCGCGAGUCUGAUUAGCUUGUUGGUUGUGGUCAUGGCUUGCCCAGGCGACGAUCAGUAGCUGGUAUGAGAGGAUGAACAGCUAGAUUGGGACUGAGACACGACCCAAACUCCUACGAGAAGCGGCGGAGGGGGAUCUUGCGGAAGGGGCGAGAUGCUGACACAGCCAUGCCGCGUGAAUGAUGAAGGGCUUAUGAUUGUAAUAUUCUUUCACCGAGGACGGUAAUGACGGUACCCGGAGAAGAAGCCCCGGCUAACUUCGUG
rnacentral:rRNA from 1 species